AGAGCGAACGCUGGCGGCAGGCCUAACACAUGCAAGUCGAGCGCGUGUAGCAAUACACGAGCGGCAGACGGGAGAGUAACACGUGGGAACGCGCCCUUCGGUUCGGAAUAACUCAGGGAAACUUGAGCUAAUACCGGAUACGCCCUUACGGGGAAAGAUUUAUUGCCGAAGGAACGGCCCGCGUCCGAUUAGCUAGUUGGUGAGGUAACGGCUCACCAAGGCGACGAUCGGUAGCUGGUCUGAGAGGAUGACCAGCCUCACUGGGACUGAGACACGGCCCAGACUCCUACGGGAGGCAGCAGUGGGGAAUAUUGGACAAUGGGCGCAAGCCUGAUCCAGCCAUGCCGCGUGGAUGAUGAAGGCCUUAGGGUUGUAAAGUCCGUUUUAACGGGGAAGAUAAUGACGGUACCGUAGAAUAAGCCCCGGCUAACUCGUGCCAGCAGCCGC
rnacentral:rRNA from 1 species